ensembl:lncRNA
GCCUCUUUCCCUCUCUCUCUCUCCCCCUUUACUCUUUCUGCUCAUUUUAAUUUUUUCUGUAACCUUGGUACCUUUUUACAUUCAAUAUUCACAUGUAACUACAAUAAUUAUUUACCGGUGUUAAUAAAUUAGAAACUGUUCAUUUUUAACCUCUAAUGUGCCAUGCCUCUUUCUUCCAGGUAACAUCAAAUUGGAGUGGUUGAAUACAGUGCUUUUGAGUGGAGGGAGAAAGAGUUUUUCUACGCUCUGUUCUCUCACCCCACACGGUCUUUUUUACAAAUGGUGAUCCCGACGUGAUACCUUUGCUCGGAUGUGGAUAUGUGACCCCACUUCCAGCAACCGGGGCAUGACACAGGUGAAGGAAAUCUCUGACCAUCAGUGGCCCUCAGACCCUUUCCCCCAAUCCUCAUCAGCUCCCCCCAGGACAAACCUUAUUCGACUAUCUGUGAUCAUCACCUACAGGUCCAGCAAUCUUCCCCACAGACAUAGUUCUUAAUCUGCAAUGGCCUUCCCCUGCUCCAGCUUCAGCUCCAUCUCCCUGGUGAAUGCAAGAUAACAAACAAAACUUUCAUCCUGAAGGACUUUUUCAAUUCUAAUGACCUGGACUAUCUCUGUGUUACUGAGUCUUGGUUGAGUAUCUGUGAGACACAUGCUAUUUGUGAACUGCUACUGGCUAACUGUACAUAUUUUAAUGCC